UCCCUAGUAGCUCAGAUGGUAAAACAUCUACCUGCAAUGCAGGAGACCCGGGUUUGAUCCCUGGGUAGGGAA
rnacentral:tRNA from 1 species